ensembl:lncRNA
UACAUUAACGUUAUGCUAGAUAGGUCGCGCUAGCCUGUAAACGCUUAUGUUAACGGUCACUGCCAUUAUCUAACGUUAACCUGGCUAUAAGUAAUACUGUGCCAAGGAAGUCACCUUAUAAAAACUGACCUAGUCACCUUAUAAAAAAUUAUAGUGUGAGUGCUGAAAUAAAGGGCAAGGAUAACGCAGACGUGCAAUUUUGGUUAAUUCCUCCCUUACCUGACAAACGUGUCCUGUUCGCUUCAUGCUGUUCAGCAGAUAACCAGCCUCCUCCGACUUCUGCUGUGUGGGGUCUCUUCCAGGCAGAACUUUCUCUCGGGUUUUCAUGUGUGCGCAUGCGCAAACCAUGCUUAAUCUAAUAAAGGUCGUUUGAUCGAAUGUAUAAUUUAAAUUUCAUUGUUAUGUUAUAAUUUUAUAUUGUAUCUAAGAAAAUAGAUUGAAAGACACAUAUAAAUUACAAAAUGUAAUUUUACUUAAUCUAAUAAUUUUAGGCUAUUGGAAUGAAAAAAUAUAUAUCAAACGAAAAACAGCAAUGUUUUACUUUUUACAGUGUAUCGCACAGCCCUAAUGUAUUCUAUAGUUGUUUUUACUGAAAAGAAUGAUACAGAGAUGAUACCAAGUGACUGGCUGAGCAUCGACAAAAUUUUUUCCUUUUGGCCCCCAUAUAACGGUACAAAAUGUAGAAAAGCGGUUGAAAAAAAUGAAACUCCUGAUGAAGAAUGGAACGAAUAUAUAACUGAAUGGGUGGCUGAGUAUGAUUCCUAUGAAAAAGCCAGAAGAAAGCUGGUGAAGUUUUGUAAAGGCAACAGUUUGGAGUCUACAGAUGAGGACAGUGUACGGAAAAGAGUACCAUCAUCAAAAUAUGUAA